rnacentral:rRNA from 1 species
CCUGGCAGUCAGAGGCGAUGAAGGACGUGCUAAUCUGCGAUAAGCGUCGGUAAGGUGAUAUGAACCGUUAUAACCGGCGAUUUCCGAAUGGGGAAACCCAGUGUGUUUCGACACACUAUCAUUAACUGAAUCCAUAGGUUAAUGAGGCGAACCGGGGGAACUGAAACAUCUAAGUACCCCGAGGAAAAGAAAUCAACCGAGAUUCCCCCAGUAGCGGCGAGCGAACGGGGAGCAGCCCAGAGCCUGAAUCAGUGUGUGUGUUAGUGGAAGCGUCUGGAAAGGCGCGCGAUACAGGGUGACAGCCCCGUACACAAAAAUGCACAUGCUGUGAGCUCGAUGAGUAGGGCGGGACACGUGGUAUCCUGUCUGAAUAUGGGGGGACCAUCCUCCAAGGCUAAAUACUCCUGACUGACCGAUAGUGAACCAGUACCGUGAGGGAAAGGCGAAAAGAACCCCGGCGAGGGGAGUGAAAAAGAACCUGAAACCGUGUACGUACAAGCAGUGGGAGCACGCUUAGGCGUGUGACUGCGUACCUUUUGUAUAAUGGGUCAGCGACUUAUAUUCUGUAGCAAGGUUAACCGAAUAGGGGAGCCGAAGGGAAACCGAGUCUUAACUGGGCGUUAAGUUGCAGGGUAUAGACCCGAAACCCGGUGAUCUAGCCAUGGGCAGGUUGAAGGUUGGGUAACACUAACUGGAGGACCGAACCGACUAAUGUUGAAAAAUUAGCGGAUGACUUGUGGCUGGGGGUGAAAGGCCAAUCAAACCGGGAGAUAGCUGGUUCUCCCCGAAAGCUAUUUAGGUAGCGCCUCGUGAAUUCAUCUCCGGGGGUAGAGCACUGUUUCGGCAAGGGGGUCAUCCCGACUUACCAACCCGAUGCAAACUGCGAAUACCGGAGAAUGUUAUCACGGGAGACACACGGCGGGUGCUAACGUCCGUCGUGAAGAGGGAAACAACCCAGACCGCCAGCUAAGGUCCCAAAGUCAUGGUUAAGUGGGAAACGAUGUGGGAAGGCCCAGACAGCCAGGAUGUUGGCUUAGAAGCAGCCAUCAUUUAAAGAAAGCGUAAUAGCUCACUGGUCGAGUCGGCCUGCGCGGAAGAUGUAACGGGGCUAAACCAUGCACCGAAGCUGCGGCAGCGACGCUGAUGCGUUGUUGGGUAGGGGAGCGUUCUGUAAGCCUGCGAAGGUGUGCUGUGAGGCAUGCUGGAGGUAUCAGAAGUGCGAAUGCUGACAUAAGUAACGAUAAAGCGGGUGAAAAGCCCGCUCGCCGGAAGACCAAGGGUUCCUGUCCAACGUUAAUCGGGGCAGGGUGAGUCGACCCCUAAGGCGAGGCCGAAAGGCGUAGUCGAUGGGAAACAGGUUAAUAUUCCUGUACUUGGUGUUACUGCGAAGGGGGGACGGAGAAGGCUAUGUUGGCCGGGCGACGGUUGUCCCGGUUUAAGCGUGUAGGCUGGUUUUCCAGGCAAAUCCGGAAAAUCAAGGCUGAGGCGUGAUGACGAGGCACUACGGUGCUGAAGCAACAAAUGCCCUGCUUCCAGGAAAAGCCUCUAAGCAUCAGGUAACAUCAAAUCGUACCCCAAACCGACACAGGUGGUCAGGUAGAGAAUACCAAGGCGCUUGAGAGAACUCGGGUGAAGGAACUAGGCAAAAUGGUGCCGUAACUUCGGGAGAA